rnacentral:rRNA from 1 species
CCUACGGGUGGCAGCAGUGGGGGAUAUUGGACAAUGGGGGAAACCCUGAUCCAGCGACGCCGCGUGUGGGAAGACGUAUUUCGGUACGUAUAGCUCUUUCAGCAGGAGAGAAAAUGACGGUACCUGGCUAAGAAGCCCCGGCUAACUAAGUUCCAGCCACCGCGGUAAUACGUAGGGGGGAGGCGGUUUCCGGAUUUACUGGGGGGAAAGGGGGCGUUGACGGGAGCGGAAGGCUGGAGUGAAAUGCCGCGGCCCAAACCCGGAACUGCUCUGGAAACUGUGGAGCUGGAGUGCAGUAGAGGUAGGCGGAAUUCCUGGUGUAGCGGUGAAAUGCGUAGAUAUCAGGAGGAACACCGGCGGCGAAGGCGGCUUACUGGACUGUAACUGACGUUGAGGCUCGAAGGCGUGGGGAGCAAACAGGAUUAGAUACCCUUGUAGUC